rnacentral:rRNA from 1 species
CACCGCGGUUAAACGAGAGACCCAAGAUGAUAGACACCGGCGUAAAGGGUGGUUAAGUAGCAAAACACUAAAGUUAAACAUUUACCUCAGCUGUAAUACGUACCCGUAAAUUUGAAAACCUUUAACGAAAGUGACUUUAAAAUUCUGACUCCACGAAAACUAUGAAA